rnacentral:rRNA from 1 species
AACUCGAGUGCAUGAAGCUGGAAUCGCUAGUAAUCGCAGAUCAGAAUGCCGCGGUGAAUACGUUCCCGGGUCUUGUACACACCGCCCGUCACACCAUGGGAGUCGGAAAUGCCCGAAGUCUGUGACCCAACCAUUAAGGAGGGAGCAGCCGAAGGCAGGUCGGAUGACUGGGGUGAAGUCGUAACAAGGUAUC